AACUAAUGAGCUUGAACAAGCCUGUAUUUUGAAAAUACAAGAUAGAGCAUACCUCUAUUAGUUU
rnacentral:tRNA from 1 species